UGCGGGAAGUUGUGGAGAGAAGCAGCUGAGUGCUGAGAAGAGCCUGAGCAGGUGAGCGGGGGAGCUUGUUGGGUCUGAUUUUAUUGUGGUGUGGGUGGUGUUGGGCUGCCUGUCGGUGAUGCCUUUUUCUCUGUUUUUUCAGGUCUGCUGUGGGCCUUUCCCAGGCGUGGCUGAGACUUUCAGGUGCCACGGGCUUCCUCCCCAGGCAUUGGAGUUGUUGUGGUGCAGGUGAUGAAGGCAAAUGUGGUGAGCAAAGGAAGAUCAGUGUGGAUGCGGCUGCUGCUGAGGAUGGCUCUUGAGGACCGGUGACCUACAGCACUGCCACAGUUAAGUUGAGGGGCAAAGGGUGUUGGGGCAUCCUCAGUUUCUGUGUAUGUGUGUGUGCGUGCUGAUGUUCAGUGUAGAGUGGAGGGUUGUUCUGGAUGAGUGGUGUGUGUG